GGAAGUAAAAGUCGUGACAAGGUUUCCGUAGGUGAACCUGCGGAAGGAUCAUUAAAGUUAUAGUCCCCCGGCCCUCUGGGCUGGGGUCUUCUAUACCACCCUUUGUUUAUUACACCUUUGUUGCUUUGGCAGGCCUGCCCUCGGGCUGCUGGCUCCGGCCGGCUCGCGUCUGCCAGAGGACCUAAACUCUGUUUGUAUAUGAAGUCUGAGUACUAUAUAAUAGUUAAAACUUUCAACAACGGAUCUCUUGGUUCUG
rnacentral:misc_RNA from 1 species